UCCAUUUGCAAUUUCCUUUUUAUCCCUAUUCAUUGGAGCGGUGGGAAUCACAGUCACUCACAAUCAUAAUCUGAAAAUUGUUUAAUUUUGAAAAUCUGGUUCAUCCACUUGUGCCUCUGUAAGUAACAUAUGACAUGAUAGUACGAAGGUAAGCCCACAAGCUAGCAUCCAUCCUUCCAUCCAUUUUCUGAGCCGCUUCUCCUCACUAGGGUCGCGGGCGUGCUGGAGCCCAUCCCAGCCAUCAUCGGGCAGGAGGCGGGGCACACCCUGAACUGGUCGCCAGCCAAUCGCAGGGCACAUACAAACAAACAACCAGUCCCACGCACAUUCAUACCUACGGGCAAUUUAGAGUUAUCAAUUAAGCCAUGUUUUUGGGAUGUGGGAGGAAACCAGAGUGCCUGGAGAAAACCCACGCAGGCACGGGGAGAACAUGCAAACUCCACACAGGCGGGGCCGGGGACUGAACCCCAUUCCUCAGAACUGUGAGGCAGACGCUCUAACCAGUCGGUCACCGUGCCGCUACAAGCUAUCAAAAAAAAUAAAAUAAUAAUAAUCUUUGUUGAGCUUCUUUGUAACAGGAAAAAGGCGAAACGAUAAGACAGACGACAACUUCUAUGAGUUUACCGCUCCUUGUGAUCUUCAUAUCUGGCGACAGGCUCGCAAAUGAGGCCUUGAAAACAAGAAGGCACUGAAUAUCUUUGCUUCUAUUUCCAACAUCCCAUCUUUGUGAAGAGCGAUUUUGUGCAAUGACGACAACCAAAACAAAAUUACAGAGUAGACUGGACAUAAGUGGCACACUCGAGUGUCAUUGUCUCCGGCUUGUUGAAGAGAAACAAGAGCAGGUCUCCCACUUCUGACAACAACUACUUUCAUGUUUGAUGGUCCUCAUGUCUCUUCCUCACUGAAAAGCGGGACUUGCCAUUGACCUGUCAGUAAAUGGGGCGGGAUGAGGACUAGCUCAUUUGCAUGAGACAGAGCCAGCCCCUACAACCAGCUGAUUACAGCAAGACAAAACAAUGUGGUGUAUAAUGCUGGCGACCAGUCCAGGGUGUACCUCGCAUCUCGUCCAAAGUCAGCUGGGAUGGGGUCCAACACACCUGUGAUCGUAAAGACAAGCAUCAUGCUUGGUGAAGAGGCCCACAUUGUGUCCAAGUCCAUUGGCACACUUCAAAUGUCUUUCAUAUUGUAUGAAAAAUAUGUACCAUAAAAGAAAAAAAAUGCUUUCUUGUGACUAACCACAGCUGGAUGACCAUCGGCCACCUGUAAGAUCUGACAUACUGACAUAAAAAAAAUAAAAAAUAAAAAUGCUCAGUUUUGACUGACACUGGCAUAGAGGUAUUAAUUUAACAACAUUCUUAUUAUUGUGGCUUCAGUUUGCAGUUUUACUUGAGCACCCCCCACCCCCAAAAAUUUCUGUGCACAUGCCUCCUGUUAGGUUCUUUGAAGACUCCGGUGUGAAUGUGAGUGUACAUGAUUGUGGACCACUGCAUCAUUAUGUGGGCUGUUUCUUUGUAAAACUGCAUGUGAUCUUCUUUUGUUUGCUAUGCUAAACUCACAGGAAGAUGCUAAAGCAAAUAUUUUAGCAUGAAUUAUUUGCAUACUCUGCCAACAUCAGCCAGACGCCAGAAAAAAUAGCCUACAGCACAAUAAAUACAUAAAUUAUUAUUCAAAACAAAUACAAAGUUAAAAUGUUUUUCUCAUUGCAUAUGUUAACAAAGUGUCUAGUUAUUUAAUAACAACUUUC